CCGAGAUCUUCAGUAGUUGAGGCAUCACCUUCAAUUUCCAAAUGAUGGAAACCAACUUGAAGAGAAACUUGAGGCCAGGAUAACAAGGCAAGCACUUCAACUAUCCGAUCGAGGAGGGAUAAUAUUGUACGAGGUACAGCCAGGGACGGAACCAGGAUUCGAAAGUAGAUUGGGCUAAUUUUCACACAACACACUUACAAAAUAUAGAACUGUUACAUUAGCUAACUGGCGCUAGAUUCUUCAAGCAAAUUGGAAAAUGGCGUAUAUGCACGAAAACAUUCAUAAGAAAGUAAUCUA
rnacentral:lncRNA from 1 species